rnacentral:lncRNA from 1 species
GACUUUUUCAGAGAGGCAGCUGUUCUCAUACACUCCUCAGAGUACACUACAGCUGUACCAACCCACCACAUCCACCCCAGGAGGUUAACAGACGGCCCUACCGGGACAACCCACCACAUCCACCCCAGGAGGUUAACAGACGGCCCUACCAGGACAACCCACCACAUCCACCCCAGGAGGUUAACAGACAGCCCUACCAGGACAACCCACCACAUCCACCCCAGGAGGAAUAACAGACAGCCCUACCAGGACAACCACCACAUCCACCCCAGGAGGUUAACAGACACCAUCACAUCAACCUCUCUCUUCCCCCUGUGUAGGAAGCACUGAUCAGAACCAAGAGCUUUCAGAACCAAGAGAUACAGCAGUCUAGCUAGGGAGGCCUGUCCCGUACCACUGUAGGGGCUGGAGGUCAGGGCCCUAUACCACUGUAGGGUUAGAGGUCAGAGGUUAGGAUAGUAUGUUUAAAACCAUGGUUACUUGGUUAGAUUACAGUACUGUUCAUGUUGCUCUAAACACAGUAAAAACAGAAAAUAAAUCAUUCAGAGAAAAUAAAAAAGAAAGCGCCUGAAAUGAACUGAAAAAACGAAACAAUAAGAUGUACAGCUGUAGUUCUAACAAUAGUAUAAUAAACAAUAAUAAUAAUAAUAACAACAACGUGUGUAUAGAUAUGUAGGUACUAGAGAGAGCUAUUCCAGUUAUUUCUCUUCUCCUCAGAUAGAUGAUGUUACCUGCGUCUCAAAUGGAACCCUAUUCUCUAUAGGGCACGAUCACAGCCCCUAGGGCUCGGAUCAAAAGUAGUGCACUACGUAGGGAACAAGGGUGCCAUUUGGGAYUCGCAGUCCCCGUCUGGUUGAGGGCGCCUUGCUCCGGGUUUUGGCACAAGACUUAACGUCCACGGUGAGAUGAGACCAGGGGAUUGGCUGAAAAUGUAUUCCAUACGGCGAGAUGAGACGACGGGACAGAUCUGGGAGACAUGACAGGCUCCGCCCCUUACUGGUCCCCCUCCACUCGCCUCUUGCGGACUGGAGAGAAGACAGGAAGAGGACAAGGAGAAGAGGACAAGGAGGAAUUGUACAGUGAGAAACUUGAUCAAAACACAGCAAACAACAUGGUGAUCAAACAAUCCUAAAACAGUCCCGUGCUGGUCAGAAGAGACAGAGUCCAACCCUAUGAUUUUACAGUGCGUAGCCUUUUGCUAACAAAGAAGUCAAACCAGCCUUAUGCUAACGGAUAGUCAAACCAGCCUACGUCAGUCAAACCAGCCCACGUCAGAGUCAAACCAGCCUUAUGCUAACGAAGAGGUCAAACCAGCCUUAUGCUAACGAAGAGGUCAAACUAGCCUUAUGCUAACGGAUAGUCAAACCAGCCUUAUGCUACACGGACAGUCAAACCAGCCGUUUGCUAACGGAACAGUCAAACAGCCGUAUGCUAACGAAGAGGUCAAACCAGCCUCAUGCUAAUCGAAAGAGGUCAAACCAGCCCUCAUGCUAAC